UUUGAACAGCUUCCCCAGGCUCGCCUCGACGCCCUGAGUGAAUCCAAUUUUUAGAGACGCAGUGUUUUCUUUGACGCACUGGCCUUUUCAUUUGAAAAAAUUCCCUUGAAUUCUUUGAUUCAAGAAGACAGGAUAUUUUCUUGAUAAUAAUGCCCCUAUUUCCUUUUUACUUAUUUUAUUUGCUGCAUUAUAUAUCAUGAUAUGUUACUUGUUAUAAAUAUAAAUAAUUAUGCAGUUAUAACAUCUUCCACUCACCCGCCGGUGAAGCUGUGGUUUGUAUCUAUGAAGUCAAAAGCCAUGGUCGGAGCUCAUAGACUCAUGGAUCAUGAGUUUCUGGGUGUCCUAAGAGAUAGUCCAGGACCCUGAGUCUGGGAUAGACUGUCACAGACUCAGCAAUGAUGGAGGUGCCCUGAGCCUUUCACAGCUGGCCCCGUGGAUGCUGCAAUCACCCAGACGCCAAGAUACCAUAUUAUACAAACAGGAACCAGGAUGAUCCUGGAAUGUACUCAGGAUGAGAACCAUUUUGCAAUGCACUGGUAUCGACAAGACCCAAGACAGGGGCUGAAGCUGAUCCAUUAUUCAAGUGGUAUGGGCAGCUCUGUCGAAGGGGGUGUCACAGAAGGGGUACAGGGUCUCCUGAGGGAAGAAGGAGCAUUUCUCUCUGACCCUGGAGGCUGCCGGCACCAACCAGACCUCUCUGUACCUCUGUGCCAGCAGUGAGACCACAGCACUGCAUGGCCAGCUGCUCUCUGCACAAAAAGCUCAGCCGCAGGCAUGAAGGACACUCCUGCCUGAGGCCUUGCCUCAAGAGGGGAAAUAACAUCCCUUACCGAGGCUUUUUCGAGGCUUUCGCCUGACUUCCCAGCGAUGGGAUCUCAGGCCGAGAGGCCUUCUUCCAGGGACCCUUGGUGUGAACUGAGGUCCAUCACUACAGGAGGGGGGUGUGUAAGUAGAAGCAAAUAGCACCUAAUGUUAUUCCACUCGAUCUGGAAUAUUCUGGUAAUUGAGUCAAGCACAGAAACAGUAGCAUCUAACAUGAAAUGUAUAUUUCACUCUAUUUUCAAUGGAGAGGAACAAAGCAGAAAGCAGCUAAGCAGGUUGAAACUCCCUGGAUGGUCUGGGAUUCUCCAGAUCUAAAACUACUACAUAAAAUCUCAGGCUUCAAAAACACUGCACACCCUGCAAAAAUUCUCUGGAGGAAAAAAAAAUUGUUAACAAUUUAUAAAACACAUACGGGGAAAUUUCCCGCUCAGGGGAAAUGUUAAAGGCUUUAAACAGCAGCGUUACAGCCAAAGAGACUACAAACUAAGUUUCUGUCUGUGGUUGUCGCCUAGUGUUCUGAACCUUCUGGGGCUCGGGAGGGUUCGAAUUCUUAAGGAAGGAACCGAGUUCUUACCAUCUCUUUGGUUUACACUGAAAUCCACAAGCUCCUCAGGGUUUUUCUUGUAAAAUAUUACAAAAUGAUAUUGGGCAAUCAUUUUAUCCUCCCCACAGUCCAUUUCCCUCCUUGGGUCCCUGUAGGUAAAAGUCCAAACCCAGGAACAAUGUGGCCUGGCUUGGCAUCCAUUAACUCCCAACAGUGGGCAGUCCAUGGUUGGGCUUUACAGGAAGUGCAGACCCCAGGAGGGUGUGGUCCUGCACUGCCCUUGUCCACUCUGAACAAGGUGACUGUACCUGUGAUUUGCUGCAGGCUCACCCACGACGUGCUCACAGAGAGGGGAGAAGGCUGCUUGCCUGGCAAAAAAAUCAAUUCACUGAUGGGACAAUCUGCUGAAAGCUGAAAUGAAAUGCUGGGUGGCAAAACUAACAAGUGACCAAUUUCCCAAACUAUGGGGCUUACAGCACUUUAGGGUUCGUGGAAUUUCUAAAGCGUUGGAGGAUAUUUUUUUAAGUUUUUGACCCUUGAAAUCUCAGCCAUUGAUCCUCAGCUGUUUCUUAACAAACUUGUUAGUCAAGCUUAUUUUGAUGCCAAAUUUGGAGGCUUAUAUAUUUCAUUCUUGGAGAACUUCUAACAUUUUCAGUAUUUCAUGUAUGUGAGUGCUCUUGUCUUCUCUUAUUUGCGUGUGAUUUAUUUCCAAAUCAGACUAUGUGGAAUGCAAGCAUAAAAUUGUGUAGGUCUCCCACCUUUUAUGAAACUUACUUAUGCUUUAGUAACGCUUUAUUAAAGUAUAAUUAAGAGAGAGUAAAAUACUGAAAUUAACACAUGAUACAGGUACAGCUUGGUAAAUUUGGACGAAUGUAUACACCAGUGCGACCUUGACCAAAAUCAAGAUAAAGAACAUUUCCAUCACCCAAGAAAAGUUUCCUCAUGCUCAUUCCCAAUCAAUUUCUCUCCCAGAGCUAACCACUUUUCUGAUGUUUAUCACCAUAGUUUUGCCUAUACUUGAACUUCAUGUGAAGUAAUUUCAAUCUAAAAUGGGACCAGAGGAUAUAAAUUGAAAAAAUCUCAUGCAUGUGAACCCUCAGAAAAACAAAACGUAAGGACUGAGAGACUGAUUUCCCACAAAUGCCUCAUUUAUAGAAAACUGUUAAUGUUGGAAUUUUCUUAAUAAUAGGGAGUUGGUCAGGACUUGCCUCAUAUCGCCCUCGGGAGAUUUUUGCUUAUGGUUUCCAGAGGCAUAACCGAAAAAUGACCCAGGUCAUGUUGGUGUUGCAAAAGAAGCUGAAUUGAGCUUUGUUUGCCUGACUGGACUGGUUUUUGUCUGUAUUUUCAAAGCUGGUCUCCCUUUGUUUUCAAUUCUAACAGACCUAACUGAGCUCUCUCCUCUCCCCACCCCUGCCCAUGGGAACAGCCCAUCCCCAACCCUCGGUGGACUCCCCUGGAGCUUGCUUCAGUCUUCCUGUCCUGAACCGUACUUCCUCUGCUGUUUCCCCAGGCUCAUCUUUUUGACAAUUUUGAUCUGGCCUCAGUUUUCCUUUUUAUUUAGGUUGACAGCUACAUAAAUAGAACCAUAUAAUGAAUGCUCUUUUUUAAUUGGCUUUAAUCUUUCUCAAAAAUUAAUAUUUUUGAAAUGUACUCACGUUGUUGUGUUUAUGAGCAGUUUCUUCUUUCUUAUUACUGUGUGGUAUUCCAUUGUAUAAAUGUAGUGAGAUUUGUUUUUCCAUUCUAUUCUGCUUGGAUACCAGGCUUGUAACAGUCUUCAGCUGUUAUGGAUAAAGUUGUUCUAAACAUUCUUGGGCAAA